rnacentral:rRNA from 1 species
AACGCUAGCUACAGGCUUAACACAUGCAAGUCGAGGGGAGACGAUAUUGGAAGCUUGCUUCCGAUAGGCGUCGACCGGCGCACGGGUGAGUAACGCGUAUCCAACCUGCCCACCACUUGGGGAUAACCUUGCGAAAGUAAGACUAAUACCCAAUGACGUCUCUAGAAGACAUCUGAAAGAGAUUAAAGAUUUAUCGGUGAUGGAUGGGGAUGCGUCUGAUUAGCUUGUUGGCGGGGUAACGGCCCACCAAGGCAACGAUCAGUAGGGGUUCUGAGAGGAAGGUCCCCCACAUUGGAACUGAGACACGGUCCAAACUCCUACGGGAGGCAGCAGUGAGGAAUAUUGGUCAAUGGACGAGAGUCUGAACCAGCCAAGUAGCGUGCAGGAAGACGGCCCUAUGGGUUGUAAACUGCUUUUAUAAGGGAAUAAAGUGAGUCUCGUGAGACUUUUUGCAUGUACCUUAUGAAUAAGGACCGGCUAAUUCCGUGCCAGCAGCCGCGGUAAUACGGAAGGUCCGGGCGUUAUCCGGAUUUAUUGGGUUUAAAGGGAGCGUAGGCCGGAGAUUAAGCGUGUUGUGAAAUGUAGACGCUCAACGUCUGCACUGCAGCGCGAACUGGUUUCCUUGAGUACGCACAAAGUGGGCGGAAUUCGUGGUGUAGCGGUGAAAUGCUUAGAUAUCACGAAGAACUCCGAUUG